rnacentral:lncRNA from 10 species
AAGUGAAAACUAUAAUUUACCUGAGAGCCCUUAAUAAUUGAGGAGAAGAAAGUGACUUUUAAAGUUUGGGAUUAUCUAAUUUUCAGGUUUUCAAAUUGUUUAUUUUUCAAUCCUUAGCACUAAGGUAGUAGCUUAAACUAUGACAGCACUGAAAAAUUUAUGUUGAUGCUUAUUAAAUUUAGAUAUUUUCAAAAAGUUGCAAAGCAGCUCUCUUUGUUUAGGUUAUAUUUCCUUUAUUGCAUGUUUCUUUUUAGGGUUAUGUUUUCCUUUUACAGUCUUCACUGCUGCUUUUAUUCAACAAAUAUUUGGGUAAGACUAUGUGCCAAACAUAUUCAUAGUUACAGAAUGAUCUUAUCUUUUGCCCUAGUAAUUAGGUUUCUUUCCUUAUCAAGUGUAACACUAAUUAAAUGUGUUAUGAGCUGCUUUCCCUUUCUUAUAUCUUGUUUUGUAAAUAAUGGUUUUGUUUAAAUGUGUUAUUUAGUUAUUUAACCUAUUUUGUGUGGUUUGACAGUUUUUAGCAUAUAUAAAUUAAUGUCCCGGCUGUAAGUGGGAUCAAACUAUCUAGAUCUGUGAACUGGUACGUUCUAAUUCUAGUGCUUUAUACAUUGCAACAUUAAAAAAUCAGAUAUUCAUUUUUUCUUUUUCCCAUGUUUUACUGAUUCUAUUUUUCUUCAAGUUUCUUCCUUCUUUUCCUAUUACAUCAAUCAUCUGCUCUUUUAACACAGCAAAUUGCUGCUUUGAUUUGAGUCAGUGACUUGAAGUUUGGGACACCAUAAUCAUCUCUCUUUGUUUAGAAAUCUCAUCCCAAAAUCUCAGGAGGAAAAAACCCUAAAGAAUUAUUUGAUGUAUUUAUUGCUUUCUGGGCAAGACUCAGCUUCAUGAAAAAAUUUUUAGGGAAUUCUUUUCUGUAAUAUCUUAUGAUGGAUUAUAGGUGGUUUCAAAUAGAUUAUCAGGAGAGUGAAUGAUGGGAAGUAUGUAAAGACACUGUGGCCAGGCACAGUGGCUCACACCUGUAAUCCCAGCAAUUUAGGAGGUGGAGGUGGGAGGAUCACCUGAGGUUAGGAGUUCGAGACCAGCCUGGCCCACUAAUGUCAUCUCUACUAAAUGACAUCUCUACUAAAUGUCAUCUCUACUAAAAAUACAAAAAUUAGCCAGGCAUGGUGGUGGAUGCCUGUAAUUCCAGCCUCCCAUGUAGCUGGGACCACAGGCAUAUGCCAUCAGGCCUGGCCAAUUUUUUUAUUUUAUUUUAUUUUUUUUCAGAUAUGGCGGUCUAACUUUGUUGCACAGGCUGAUCUUGAACUCCUGGGCUCAAGUGAGCCUUCUGCUUUGACCUCCCUAAGUGUUGCGAUUAUAGGUGUGAGCCACUGCACCUGGCUAAGAAUUAUUUUACUGUGGUAAAAAACACACAACAUGAAAUUUACCAUUUUAACUGCUUU